AAAUCAUGAAAAACUACAGAAUGAAUGGAUUAAUACCAAGAGUUCAUGGAAAUGCUGGAAAGACACCAAACCAUGCUUUGACUUAUAAUGAUAUUCUCCGGGUUGUUGCUUUCAUCAGAAAUUACGCUGAAGUCCAUGGAAUCAGUCUUCCUGGAAGAAUACCUGGAAUGAAAAGUUACGAGAAUAAGAAGUUCUUACCAUGCAGUACAUCUAAAAGGCAGGUAUACUUAGAGUAUGCGGAAUCAUGUGAAGGGCUUUAUGUCAAAGCAUGUGCUGAAACAACAUUCAACAUGUUGUGGCGACGCUACCUGCCUUAUAUUGAAAAAAUGAAGCCUAUGUCUGACUUGUGUGCCAUUUGUAAAGAGAUAAGUUGACUGAUUAUAAGAAGUGCUAACAUGCAAUCAGAUGAAAGGAUAACUGAGGCAAUGCAAAAGGCACUAG